AGUGAACGCUGGCGGUAGGCCUAACACAUGCCAGUCGAACGGCAGCACAGUAAGAGCUUGCUCUUACGGGUGGCGAGUGGCGGACGGGUGAGGAAUACAUCGGAAUCUACUUUUUCGUGGGGGAUAACGUAGGGAAACUUACGCUAAUACCGCAUACGACCUACGGGUGAAAGCAGGGGAUCUUCGGACCUUGCGCGAUUGAAUGAGCCGAUGUCGGAUUAGCUAGUUGGCGGGGUAAAGGCCCACCAAGGCGACGAUCCGUAGCUGGUCUGAGAGGAUGAUCAGCCACACUGGAACUGAGACACGGUCCAGACUCCUACGGGAGGCAGCAGUGGGGAAUAUUGGACAAUGGGCGCAAGCCUGAUCCAGCCAUACCGCGUGGGUGAAGAAGGCCUUCGGGUUGUAAAGCCCUUUUGUUGGGAAAGAACAGCAGCAUGUGAAUACCCCGCUGUUCUGACGGUACCCAAAGAAUAAGCACCGGCUAACUUCGUG
rnacentral:rRNA from 1 species